UGUUGCAUUUUAGAAGAGUAGGAAGAGGAAGUGGCUUUCAUUAAAAUUUGUUAGAUAUAGAUUUUAAGAAGUUUCGUCUAUAAAAAAAAUAAUUGUUCGUCAGUUGUUUAUAUAAAUAAGUGAGUAAUGAUGAGUAAAUGGAGUAUUGUUAUGUUAAAGUGACUUAUAUCUAUUUAUUUUACAUUUAUGUACGAAUUUUUGUUUUACUUAUGAAUAAUUGAUUUAUUUAAAUUAUAGAUAAGAAGAAACAGUGAAAAAUACAAAUUUUUCUUUUAAUUUAUUUAUAACAAGUUUAUGGAAGGAAUUGAAACUUGUGCCGUUCACUAUUUGAACAGUCGAAGAUAGACAUGUUAAUGGAAAGAUGAUUGAUUGGAAGAUUUUGAGGAAAAGUGAGAAAAUAAAAGGAAAGUUCAAUGAUUA